rnacentral:rRNA from 1 species
CAACUUUCAGCGACGGAUGUCUAGGGUUCCCACAACGAUGAAGAACGCAGCGAAAUGCGAUACGUAAUGCGAAUUGCAAAACCUCGUGAAUCAUCAAGAUUUUGAACGCACAUUGCGCUUCCGGGAUUUUCCCGGGAGCAUGCUUGUCUGAGUGUC